AUACGGAGGGUGCAAGCGUUAAUCGGAAUUACUGGGCGUAAAGCGCACGCAGGCGGUUUGUUAAGUCAGAUGUGAAAUCCCCGGGCUCAACCUGGGAACUGCAUCUGAUACUGGCAAGCUUGAGUCUCGUAGCGGGGGGUAGAAUUCCAGGUGGAGCGGUGAAAUGCGUAGAGAUCUGGCGGAAUACCGGUGGCGAAGGCGGCCCCCUGGACGAAGACUGACGCUCAGGUGCGAAAGCGUGGGGAGCAAACAGGAUUAGAUACCCUGGUAGUCCACGCCGUAAACGAUGUCGACUUGGAGGUUGUGCCCUUGAGGCGUGGCUUCCGGAGCUAACGCGUUAAGUCGACCGCCUGGGGAGUACGGCCGCAAGGUUAAAACUCAAAUGAAUUGACGGGG
rnacentral:rRNA from 1 species